GUAAGCAUUGCAAAAUGUAGUUGUU
rnacentral:piRNA from 1 species